rnacentral:rRNA from 1 species
GACGAGCGCUGGCGGCGUGCUUAACACAUGCAAGUCGAACGGUGAAGCGCCUUCCUUUUUGGUGGGUGUGGAUGAGUGGCGAACGGGUGAGUAACACGUGAGUAACCUGCCCCCUUCUUCUGGAUAACCGCAUGAAAGUGUGGCUAAUACGGGAUAUUCUGGGUCUGUCGCAUGAUGGGUCUGGGAAAGAUAUUGUUUCGGUGGGGGAUGGGCUCGCGGCCUAUCAGCUUGUUGGUGGGGUGAUGGCCUACCAAGGCGGUGACGGGUAGCCGGCCUGAGAGGGUGGACGGUCACACUGGGACUGAGACACGGCCCAGACUCCUACGGGGGGCAGCAGUGGGGAAUAGUGCACAAUGGGCGCAAGACUGAUGCAGCGACGCCGCGUGAGGGAUGGAGGCCUUCGGGUUGUGAACCUCUUUCGCCAGUGAAGCAGGCCUGCCUCGUUUGUGGGUGGGUUGACGGUAGCUGGAUAAGAAGCGCCGGCUAACUACGUG